UACGUAGGAGACUAGCGUUGUCCGGAAUUACUGGGUGUAAAGCGCGUGUAGGCGGCAUACCAAGUCUGUUGUGAAAUCGCCCGGCUCAACUGGGCGGGGUCAAUGGAAACUGGUAAGCUGGAGGACGGUAGAGGCGAGUGGAAUUCCCGGUGUAGUGGUGAAAUGCGUAGAGAUCGGGAGGAACACCUGUGGCGAAGGCGGCUCGCUGGGCCGAUCCUGACGCUGAGACGCGAAGGCGUGGGAGGCGAACGGG
rnacentral:rRNA from 1 species